rnacentral:rRNA from 1 species
UACGGAGGGGGCUAGCGUUGUUCGGAAUUACUGGGCGUAAAGCGCGCGUAGGCGGAUCUGCAAGUCGGGGGUGAAAUCCCGAGGCUCAACCUCGGAACUGCCUUCGAUACUGCGGGUCUCGAGUCCGGGAGAGGUGAGUGGAAUUCCUAGUGUAGAGGUGAAAUUCGUAGAUAUUCGGAAGAACACCAGUGGCGAAGGCGGCUCACUGGACUGGUAUUGACGCUGAGGUGCGAAAGCGUGGGGAGCAAACAGG